rnacentral:rRNA from 1 species
ACAUGCAAGUCGAGGGGCAGCAUAAUGGAUAGCAAUAUCUAUGGUGGCGACCGGCGCACGGGUGCGUAACGCGUAUGCAACCUACCUUUAACAGGGGGAUAACACUGAGAAAUUGGUACUAAUACCCCAUAAUAUCAUAGAAGGCAUCUUUUAUGGUUGAAAAUUCCGAUGGUUAGAGAUGGGCAUGCGUUGUAUUAGCUAGUUGGUGGGGUAACGGCUCACCAAGGCGACGAUACAUAGGGGGACUGAGAGGUUAACCCCCCACACUGGUACUGAGACACGGACCAGACUCCUACGGGAGGCAGCAGUGAGGAAUAUUGGUCAAUGGACGCAAGUCUGAACCAGCCAUGCCGCGUGCAGGAUGACGGCUCUAUGAGUUGUAAACUGCUUUUGUACGAGGGUAAACGCAGAUACGUGUAUCUGUCUGAAAGUAUCGUACGAAUAAGGAUCGGCUAACUCCGUGCCAGCAGCCGCGGUAAUACGGAGGAUUCAAGCGUUAUCCGGAUUUAUUGGGUUUAAAGGGUGCGUAGGCGGUUUGAUAAGUUAGAGGUGAAAUUUCGGGGCUCAACCCUGAACGUGCCUCUAAUACUGUUGAGCUAGAGAGUAGUUGCGGUAGGCGGAAUGUAUGGUGUAGCGGUGAAAUGCUUAGAGAUCAUACAGAACACCGAUUGCGAAGGCAGCUUACCAAACUAUAUCUGACGUUGAGGCACGAAAGCGUGGGGAGCAAACAGGAUUAGAUACCCUGGUAGUCCACGCAGUAAACGAUGAUAACUCGUUGUCGGCGAUACACAGUCGGUGACUAAGCGAAAGCGAUAAGUUAUCCACCUGGGGAGUACGUUCGCAAGAAUGAAGCUCAAAGGAAUUGACGGGGGCCCGCACAAGCGGAGGAACAUGUGGUUUAAUUCGAUGAUACGCGAGGAACCUUACCCGGGCUUGAAAGU